rnacentral:rRNA from 1 species
UACGGAGGGUGCAAGCGUUAUCCGGAUUCACUGGGUUUAAAGGGAGCGCAGGCGGAUUUGUAAGUCAGUGGUGAAAGGCUUAAGCUUAACUUAGGAACUGCCAUUGAUACUAUAAGUCUUGAAUGUUGUUGAGGUUUGCGGAAUGGGUCAUGUAGCGGUGAAAUGCAUAGAUAUGACCCGGAACACCUAUUGCGAAGGCAGCAGGCUAAACAAAUAUUGACGCUGAGGCUCGAAAGCGUGGGGAUCAAACAGG